UCAUCACAUAUUAUGGGCACCUUUCCAGGA
rnacentral:piRNA from 1 species